rnacentral:rRNA from 1 species
UACGUAGGGGCCGAGCGUUGUCCGGAGUUAUUGGGCGUAAAGCGCGCGCAGGCGGCUUCGCGCGCCCGACGUGAAAGCCCCCCGGCUUAACCGGGGAGAGUCGUUGGGGACGGCGGAGCUUGAGGGCGGGAGAGGUCGGUGGAAUUCCCGGUGUAGUGGUGAAAUGCGUAGAGAUCGGGAGGAACACCUGUGGCGAAGGCGGCCGACUGGGCCGACCCUGACGCUGAGGCGCGAAGGCGUGGGGAGCGAACGGG